GACGAACGCUGGCGGCGUGCUUAACACAUGCAAGUCGAACGGAAAGGCCCUGCUUUUGUGGGGUGCUCGAGUGGCGAACGGGUGAGUAACACGUGAGUAACCUGCCCUUGACUUUGGGAUAACUUCAGGAAACUGGGGCUAAUACCGGAUAGGAGCUCCUGCUGCAUGGUGGGGGUUGGAUAGUUUCGGCGGUUGGGGAUGGACUCGCGGCUUAUCAGCUUGUUGGUGGGGUAGUGGCUUACCAAGGCUUUGACGGGUAGCCGGCCUGAGAGGGUGACCGGCCACAUUGGGACUGAGAUACGGCCCAGACUCCUACGGGAGGCAGCAGUGGGGAAUAUUGCACAAUGGGCGGAAGCCUGAUGCAGCGACGCCGCGUGCGGGAUGACGGCCUUCGGGUUGUAAACCGCUUUCGCCUGUGACGAAGCGUGAGUGACGGUAAUGGGUAAAGAAGCACCGGCUAACUACGUG
rnacentral:rRNA from 1 species